UACGUAGGGUGCAAGCGUUAAUCGGAAUCACUGGGCGUAAAGGGCGCGUAGGCGGCUCAUGAAGGCUGUGGUGAAAGUCCGGGGCUCAACCUCGGAUCGGCCGUGGCGACUCGUGGGCUGGAGCACUGUAGAGGCGGGUGGAAUUCCGGGUGUAGCGGUGGAAUGCGUAGAGAUCCGGAAGAACACCAGUGGCGAAGGCGGCCCGCUGGGCAGUGGCUGACGCUGAGGCGCGGACAGCGUGGGGAGCAAACAGG
rnacentral:rRNA from 1 species